rnacentral:rRNA from 1 species
UGGGGAAUAUUGGACAAUGGGCGCAAGCCUGAUCCAGCCAUGCCGCGUGAGUGAAGAAGGCCUUCGGGUUGUAAAGCUCUUUUGUCAGGGACGAUAAUGACGGUACCUGAAGAAUAAGCCCCGGCAAACUUCGUGCCAGCAGCCGCGGUAAUACGAAGGGGGCUAGCGUUGUUCGGAAUUACUGGGCGUAAAGCGCACGUAGGCUGAUUGUUAAGUCAGGGGUGAAAUCCCAGAGCUCAACUCUGGAACUGCCCUUGAUACUGGCAAUCUCGAGUCCGGAAGAGGUUAGUGGAAUUCCCAGUGUAGAGGUGAAAUUCGUAGAUAUUGGGAAGAACACCAGUGGCGAAGGCGGCUAACUGGCCCGGUACUGACGCUGAGGUGCGAAAGCGUGGGGAGCAAACAGGAUUAGAUACCCAGGUAGUCCCUGAGCGGGCUGGCAAGGCGCAU